UAUAUGUGUUUUAAAUAAAAUGAUGACUUCUGACCUUAUUUCCUUUGUAUACUCAUUUAAGGGUCUUUAACACAUUUCCCUGAUUUUAAGUUUUCCCUGAUUUUACAUCGUUGUUCCCUGGUCCCCUGAAAGACGUAAAAUGGGGGUUCUACUGUAAUCGUCACUAUCAAUGCCUGCAGCACAUAGAAAUCAAUACUCCAGCAACGUAAGACUAUUACAUUUCACUGUGUGUUAAUUCCCCAUACCAUGUAAUACCCAAAGCCCAUGAUUUUCAGGUUUUGGCAGUUUCCUGCACUGUGUUGUUUAGUUUGGGUGGCGCUAAGACGCAAGCCAGGCAGCAAGAGCUGACACACGCACCUCCCCAAACCCAGCGAACCUCACAGCAUUCCCUGCUGCUUCCCUGAUCGGUCACUGCCCCAUACAGGUGUUCAUUCCUUCCGUGCCUUUUCAUUCUGAUCGACUGCUGGACCCACCAAUCAACAGGCGCCAUUAGUGGACUGCCUCCAAUCUGCUGGCGGAGUUUGCAAAUAGAGCUUCUGAACGUGAGGCCAGAAAAAUUGUGAAAUACAGAAGGCAACUGAGCUGCCUGUGAGCGCUAGUGUCGUUGUAUUAUUGCGAGAUCAAGACCCUGCCUGCAAGUGCCGCACUAAGCAGCCCAGAUUCCCUGCUCUCCUCCAGCCAUGGUCAGGAAAUCUCCAGGCUCUGGUAAGGAGGAAGACUUCACCUUCGUUAGCCCCGUGGUGAAAUAUCUCUUGAUCUUCUUCAACAUGCUCUUCUGGGUAAUAUCCAUGGUGAUGGUGGGUAUUGGAGUUUAUGCCCGUCUUUUGAAACAUGCUGAGGCUGCCAUGGCCUGUCUUGCUGUGGAUCCUGCCCUGUUGCUUAUUGGGGUUGGGAUUUUAAUGUUCCUUAUCACAUUCUGUGGUUGCAUUGGAUCUCUGAGGGAAAACAUCUGCCUGCUGCAAACCUUCUCAAUUUGUCUUACGCUUGUCUUCUUACUUCAGUUGGCUGUGGGCAUUGUGGGAUUCAUCUUUUCAGACAAGGCGCGUGGAAAAGUAAGUGAAAUUAUCAGCAAUGCCAUUGAACAUUACCGCGAUGACCUUGACUUGCAGAAUCUCAUAGAUUUUGGGCAGAAAGAGUUUAGUUGCUGUGGGGGCAUCUCUUACAAGGACUGGUCCCAGAACAUGUAUUUCAACUGCUCCUCAGAAAACCGCAGCCAGGAGCGCUGCUCUGUACCCUACUCUUGCUGCCUACAUGAUGAAGGGGAGGCUGUCAUCAACACCUUGUGCGGACAGGGAAUGCAGGAGCUUGACUAUCUAGAGGCAGGCGAAUUUAUCCAUACCAAUGGCUGCAUUGACAGACUUGUUAACUGGAUUCACAGUAAUCUUUUCCUGCUGGGAGGUGUGGCCCUGGGACUGGCAAUCCCACAGGUAACAAAGCAUUUGAGGGCAAAGUUAAUUUAUACAUGGAGGAUAGGUAUACAAGUGUAAUACAGUGCAUUUUGGAGGCCAUGCAAAUAUGGAGGCCAUUAAUAUCAGGCUAGGCUUUCCACUAGGCAGUGCACAUAUAAUCCUGCAUAUUGGAUUCCUGCUAACAAGAGGGAAGAGGGGUGUUGUAUACUGGAAUGAAAUUCUCUACAUUACAAGGCCCAAGCAUGGACUAGUUUCAGUUUCCUUGUUUAGCUUAUGAAAUUACUAACACUGGAUUUUUUUUUUUGAGUAAAGGAGUAGCCAAAAAUAAUGUUUAUUGCAUUCAUGUAGAACACGUGAGUAUACUUUAAAUGAUGCCACCAAAUAGAGAGAGGCCCUUGCUGAAUUUUGUUAUUGUAAUGCUUUGUAAAUGUAUUUUUCUAUUUCUUUGAAAAGCUGGUUGGAAUCCUCCUGUCCCAAAUUCUCAUCAAUCAAAUUCGGGACCAGAUCAAACUACAGAGGUAUAACCAACAGCACAAGACAGACCCUUGGUACUGACAGAGGGCCAGGUGCAUGCGCCCAACUUUGCUUUAAACAAUUACUGCAGCACAUCUCCUGGACCAGGAAAAGUACUAGCAGAUUUCAAGUCACAUUGAUUGCCACAGAAAGCUUUAGCUUUAUGGAAAAACAAAACGAGAGCUACAGUGGUGCACUAUCAUUUCCCAGAAUAGUUUCCAAUUGUCUUGGCAGAGGCUGCAUUGUGGCAUUUUGAUUUAAUGUAUUUUACAGAGCAUAACACUUCAAGGGAUAAAGUCUGCAUUUCUGUGGGAAGACAUUAAUUGAUUUACAAUAUAUGAAUUAGUGCAGUCCAGGAGGAAAAGGAUCCAUAUUGUCCAAACAAGGUGUGCUAUUCAGAGAGGAAUGUUAUAAAAGCUUGGACUUUUUUAUCAUUGCAAUUUAUAUUUAUUUUCUGAUACACAAAAGAAAUAGUUUGUAAUUAUUGCCAAGAUUGUUACUUUUUUCUUCACUGUAUACUGACAGCUGUUUCAGAAGACUAGAUGAUUCUUGCUAUAUGGAGCCUUUAAAAUAUUCUGUUAUUUUUAUAAUAGAAGCCACAAAAAAAGACACAUUUGACUAAAACCAUACAAGCAGGUUAACUGGUUCUGUAAAGCGCUGCAAAAUAUGUUGGUGCUAUAAAAAUAGAGAAUAAUAGCUAAUACCCUAACCCUGAUCCAGAUGUAUGUACUGUAUAAAUGUAUAAAGACAACCCACACUUGUAUAUCUGAGCUAAGGCCUUGAUCAUGGAUCACAUCAGAAUUCUUUCUAACUGUACCUUCCAAUUCAAGCUAACCUUGAAAGUUCAUUAUUCAGCCUGUCAGACGUUUCAGUCAUAAACAAAUCAUUUGCAAUGAAUUGGAGCAAGGGUGCACCAUUCUCUUCCUGGUAAACCCAGGGUGGUCAUGAGACCAUCCUUGUUUUUUUUGUUAAAAAAAUUGGCUGUUGCUUAUUGAGGAUCAUUUUCAAAAAACCAAUUAAAUGUCCACUAUAAUUUCAGCACGUGUUUAUAUUGAUGACCGUUCCCCUUUAGUAUCACACAGUAUUCUCAGCAUAACCGUACUCAUUUGUGUCUUGUAAAAACCAAUGAAAAUUCUUCAAUGUGUUUUACUGCAGACAGGUCAUGCUAUUUUGUUUUUGCAGAGAGUUUAGGACACAACAUGUAGUACAGAGCAGGUUUAGUUGAAUGUGACAAGUAUUAUAAAGAAACUUAAAUAGUGGCUUCUCAGGGGCAAGGAAAAAUAAUGUUCUUAGAAGUAACACUAUUUUCUCUUGGUGUAGUUGGGAAAUGGAAGGUUGUUGUGCACAGAGAGCUUUGUUUUCACUAAUGGCCAUAAUUCCCCUAAAUGCCCAUUUGAUGCAUUCUUCUUUUUAUGUUUUAUCCCUGGACAGACUAUUGAAUGUGUAUGAAAAUAUUAAUUCUUCAAUAUCCCUUCUCAACAUCUUUCAUUACACAAAAAUGAAUGACUUGCCAUUUGCUUAGUGUGUGCCAGAUGCAUCAAAGUCUGCAGCACCUGUUUAUAUGCUUAUGAAGAUGUAGCAUCUUAACUGAUGGAUCUCUCACACAAAGCAACACCCUUUAUCAAACUGAAAUAAAAAUACAUGACAUGCUCACUAAAUAGAUCAUGAAUGUCUGUUACAACUGAAUAUCCUUACUUUUUGCACUUUAUAAUUUCAUUUUGAAGCUGAAUAGAGUGCAGACUUGUGUUGUAUAGAGUGCCUGUCUUAUUUUCUUUUAUUCUAAUAGUCACCAUUGUGCAUAAAUUUGAGGGUUGCACACCAGAUCCCAGGGACGGGUAUAAUGGUCAAAGGCUUAUGAUACAAUGAACAAUUAUCAAACGUGUAAAUUCAAAAAUGUUGUGAUUGCUUUUGGAAAAAUUACAAAGAACUAAAGGGAAAUGUAUCUAAUAUUUUUACAUGUACAUGUUCAAAAUGUUGGUUCUGUGGUUGUGCACUGAAUAUUUCUGCAGUCUAUAUUUGAAAUUAUGCAGACCAUUUCAUGCAAGAUCAUGUGUGUCUUUUCUUUCCUGUGCUCAUUUGUAGUCAUUCCGUGAAUGGCUUUAAAUAUAAUAGCUUUUCUGUAAUAGUCCCCAUAGAUAAACAUGGUCCUGUAGUCUGUUACAGAAGAAUAGGAAUGCACCAAAUCCACUAUUUGUGAUUCGGCCAAAUCCUUCGUGAAAAGUUUCGGCUGAAUACCGGACCGAAUCCUAAUUUGCAUAUGCAAAUUAUUGUCGGGAAAGGAAAAAGUGAAAAAAAAAAACAUUUUUACUUCCUUGUUUUGUGACAAAAUGUCAAGUGAUUUCCCUUCCCACCCCUAAUUUACAUAUUCAAAUUCAGAUUUGGUUCAGCCAGGCCCAAGGAUUCGGCUGAAUACGAAUCCUGCUAAAAAAAAAAAAAAAAAAAAAAAAAAAAAAGGCUGAAUCCUGGAUUCGGUGCAUCCCUACAGAAGACUAUUCACUAUUUUAUUUUUUGAUAUUUCUUGCUCCAGUACUUUAAAGAUGUCCUUAACAUCAAUAAAAAUGAUAAAAUAUCCCAUAGCCCUGAUACAAUUAUUUUGGGAUCUCUUUAGAUUGUUUAAAACAACAUAGAUCUAUAAUUCUAUUGAUGUGUAGGUGCUUUGCACAGAGCUUUCAUGUUUUUACCAAUGGCCAUAAUUAAUCAUGACACAGUGAUCAGUGGUGGAUGAUUCGUAAGAUUUGAAAAUGUCUGUGUAUUUGGCUUUAAUGAACAAUCAUAGAAUGAACAUUAAACAGGAAAAUUGAGACGGAAGCAUACAAGCAUAUACAAGCAUAGGUGGUGUAUGACCACCUUAAUAAAUACACCUAUAUACAUGGAUGGAUUAUGCCUACUCUGAAGUAGAAUUCUGUAGUCUUGGCAUAUUGAAAAAUGUGUUCUCACUCAAGUGUAGCAGUAUUAAAUACACUUCUGUUUUGCUUAAUAUCGAAUUACUCCAGUAUGUAGAGACUGUGUUUUAAAAACAAUAUGUCUUCACCACUGUGUUAUAUAAUAUCUGUCCUGACCUAUAAGUGCAGCAGGUAAGCAUAUAGGAUGCAUUUUUAUAUUCCUUGCAAUAUGGAUGUGCCUUUUUUCCUUGUGUUGAAACAAAAUAUUGCUUUUACAUUGUAAUAUGAAAAGUGAAGAGUUGGUAUAUUACUUUUUUCAAUAUUGAGAAUACAAUUGAUGUGUAAAGAUGUCUAAUAAAACAAAACAUAUUACAA